GUAGCUCAGGAAUCUGCUCCUCCCUCCAGCACCAUGGCAACAGGCCUCUGAGAACUGCUGAUCUGACGCCCUGGAUGCUGGAAAUCUCAGAUGAAGGUGCCGGCAGGGCCCUGCCCCCUCUGAAGGCUCUCGGGGAAGCUUCUUUGCCUCUUCCAGCUCCUGGUGGCUCCAUGCACUGCUGGGCUCGUGGCUGCCUCCCUCUGGUCUCUGCCCCGGUCUGCAUGUGGCCUUCCCUGAGUGUUGCUGUGUCCUUGCUGCUGCUUAGAAGCACACCAGCCAUUGGAUUAGGACCCACUCUCAUCCAGCAUGGCCUCAUCUUAACUCAUUACGUCUACAAAAUCUCCAUUUCCAAAUAAGGUCCCAUUCUGGGGUCCCGAGUGGAAUGGGGGGGACACCAUCAACCCAUCCUAAGGCCUUCUUGGGCAGCCUCAGGGGGAAGCCGGACCAGCCUUAAGUGAAAGUGGAGGGUUCCAAGGAUCCUACAAAGGGGCCCUGACCCAGUCUGUGGGCAGCAAGGGACAGAGUGGACGAUGC
rnacentral:lncRNA from 1 species